UGGGGAAUUUUCCGCAAUGGGCGCAAGCCUGACGGAGCAAUACCGCGUGAGGGAGGAAGGCUCUUGGGUCGUAAACCUCUUUUCUCAGGGAAGAACACAAUGACGGUACCUGAGGAAUCAGCAUCGGCUAACUCCGUGCCAGCAGCCGCGGUAAUACGGAGGAUGCAAGCGUUAUCCGGAAUGAUUGGGCGUAAAGCGUCCGUAGGUGGUUUUGUAAGUCCGUGGUUAAAGCGCGAAGCUCAACUUCGUAAGGGCCAUGGAAACUACAUAACUUGAGUAAAGUAGGGGUAGAGGGAAUUCCCAGUGUAGCGGUGAAAUGCGUAGAGAUUGGGAAGAACACCGGUGGCGAAAGCGCUCUACUGGACUUAAACUGACACUGAGGGACGAAAGCUAGGGGAGCGAAAGGGAUUAGAUACCCCUGUAGUC
rnacentral:rRNA from 1 species